rnacentral:lncRNA from 1 species
AGAUACUGAAGCUGAACUCUCUUCAAAUAGGUGUUUUUAACUUAUGUACGUAACACUUUUAAAAAAAAAAAAAAAAAAAAAAACUAUAAGGGGCAUUUUAACUUGUGAUAGCGGGUUAGCUAAUUAGAGAUUACCAUUGUAAUUACCUAAUAAGUGACCUAAUUUGUGUAAAUAAUUAGACACCAUCAGUCCAUGGAACUUAAACUCAUACUUAAAAACUUCCUUUUUAAAAUUCUUCUAAGUAGCAAUACACAUUUGAUUGAUAAGUAGACUUGUCUUGAUAUCUUUUUGCAUUCAUUGUUCAAUAUCAUGCAUUUCUCUGUGUUGCAAGUGAUUUUCUUUUGUAAAUGUAUGUGUUUUUCCGUAAUAUUUUGAUGAGUAGUAUGCUUGCAAAACUAUAGACUUACAAAUUAUUGACUGUAAUUGGCAUUGAUGCUGAAAAGUAAGUUUCUUUUGCCUAUUAUUAAGUAUGUAAUGCGUUGUUCACUUCAAAUGCGCGUGAUUGCUUUUCUGAUGCAGAUGGAAUGGGGACAGCAGAAUGGAGAGCUGCAAAGAGUCCAGCUUAUUACAAAAGAGGAGAUUAUGUUCCUGGUCUGAAGGUACAGUGAAUCACACUUUGCAACUCCUUUUUGUUAAAUGAUUUUGCUUUGUUUUCUCUUUUAUUUUUGGGAGCUGAUAGUGAUGUGCUAGUAGCCUAGUAAUACUCAACUAAACAUUUCUCAUUAAAUCUUGAAUAAACUAAAAUCUGUUAACUUUUGAAUUGAUUUUACUUAUCAAAAAGCAGUUGAAGAUUUCUCUUCAAUUUGAAGCCAGAAUCUAGGCUUUCAUAUGAGCUCUGAUCUUUUUAUGUUAACUGAAUUAAGUGAAACUAGCCUUACAAAUAUUAUGACAAGAGUGGGUUGCUCUAGCGGUGNNNNNNNNNNNNNNNNNNNNNNNNNNNNNNNNNNNNNNNNNNNNNNNNNNNNNNNNNNNNNNNNNNNNNNNNNNNNNNNNNNNNNNNNNNNNNNNNNNNNNNNNNNNNNNNNNNNNNNNNNNNNNNNNNNNNNNNNNNNNNNNNNNNNNNNNNNNNNNNNNNNNNNNNNNNNNNNNNNNNNNNNNNNNNNNNNNNNNNNNNNNNNNNNNNNNNNNNNNNNNNNNNNNNNNNNNNNNNNNNNNNNNNNNNNNNNNNNNNNNNNNNNNNNNNNNNNNNNNNNNNNNNNNNNNNNNNNNNNNNNNNNNNNNNNNNNNNNNNNNNNNNNNNNNNNNNNNNNNNNNNNNNNNNNNNNNNNNNNNNNNNNNNNNNNNNNNNNNNNNNNNNNNNNNNNNNNNNNNNNNNNNNNNNNNNNNNNNNNNNNNNNNNNNNUAGUUUAAUUUUCGGUUGUGAUUGGCAAGAGUUCUUUCUGUUAUAUAAUUUCCUAUAUGUAUAUACCUGUAUGCUGUUGAAAACAAUAAUGUUUUAGAUGCCUCGUGUCAUGUACUCUAAUAAUUUUAUAGGAACUGUAAAAAAGAAAUAGCAAGCUUUGGGCCAAGUAUUAUUGACAGAAGGAAAGAAAAGGAGAAGAAAUAAAAAAGAGAUACUAAAAUCAAAUUGAUACAAUUGCUGUUGUAGCAGUAAUAUAAUUUUUUCCUUUGGGUUUAAUCCUUGUGUUUUCGAGGUCAGAGAGCCCCUUCUGGAAGCAUAAACUUCAUUGUUUAUUUGUUUAUUCAGGAUAAAGAGAACUCAUGAGCCCUUUAAUACUUCCUAAAGUGUCAAUGAAGCCAUUCAACUGUUUUCGACCCGAGCUGCAUCUAAUGUCUUGAUGUCACACUUGGGUAACCUCAACGUUUUUUCCUGAGAAAGAGGGUAACCUCAACAUUAUUCUGUUAAGAAUUCGUGACGAACUGUCAAUCUGAAAGGCAAAAAAGACAUCUUGCAUUAUUUCACUGAGAGUGGCAACAUUUCCGUCCAGGAAUGUAACCCCUGUUUUUCGUAAGAUAAACUGGGAAAGGGAAGGCGAUAAGCACCAGUUUUCUAGGAAAUUUAGUUCGCCUUUGAGUUUGGAGUUAUUGGUCACAACAACCAGACUAUUAACUGAUUCAACUAUUUUCUGCAGCUAACAACUGCUGCACUUCAUCAAAUUCCCUGGCCGACUUAUUUUUCUUAUGCUAUCACGAGACGUCCCACUAUCUUGUCCUCCAGAUUAAAAAGAAUAAAACGAAGUAGUCAAAAGGAAAAAAGGCAAGUAGGUUAUUAAUAAAUUCAUUGCCUCUCAUAUGGGGAUCAUGAACUUAGCCGUAGUCAACAUUGAUUUUAUGUAUGAUCUCUCUAGACACUUGUGUUAUAUCCCUUAAUAAAGACCCUGUUUGUAGUGGACUAAUUAUUAAGAUCAGUUCAGUAAGGUAACCCGCUCAGGCAAGUAUUUCUCUGCCAUUGAAAUUAGAAGAGGAGGAUGCAUGGGCUGAGAAAUGCAUAGCAGUUGAGAUGAUAACUUAAAUAAUUGAAAUAUACCAUUUAUUAAAGAUGGUCUCUCUUCUACUUGGGUCUGUUUUAUAAAAUUUUACUUGACUAGAAUAGAUCAUAUGAACACCUAUCGCUGGUGGUUUAUGCUGAUGUUUCUACUUAGAAUCCUUGAUGGAAGGACUUGGAUUACCAAAUGCAAUAUUAAAAUGUUAGUAGAGUAUUUUCUAGGUGAUGGGCUUACUUUGUGAAUUUUGGAAAAGUUAAAUGGAGCCACAUUGUCGGUGAUGAUUCAUAUAGUUGACCCCAACUUGUUUGGGCUUGAGGUGUUGUUGUUGUUCUAACCAUUUUUCCUUAUUUAUCUUUUAUUUUAUUGGUCAAUAGAAUCCAUAAGCUCAUUGCUAAUGAAUUUUUCUACAUAAGACAAAUUUCAGGAAUUAGUAAUUGGUAGCAAUUAUGCUAACGCUUCUUAGUACUGUACCUUCCAUUUACGGUGUCACAUAUGAUGCACAUUAAUAAUUUGCGCUAAAUGUGCUUUAGUUGAUCAUUCUUUUUGGGCUGCACAUGUUUUUUAGUUUUCUUUUUUCUUUUAUUUGUGAAAGGAACAAUAGGGUGAUGGUUAAAACGAAGUUUGGAAAACGCUAAGAUUAAUACAUGGAAACAGGCUCUUUUUCAAAAAAUGGAACGGUCUAGACGUAGGACAUGUCUUGCAUUGAGGCUUAUGCUAUGUGUUUUGGGGGUUGUAUUAUUUAAUUUCUUGCUGAAUUCAAUGUCAGUUAUGUUCAUACAUUAGUAUUCUUUCCUUUACUUCAUUUUGAGCAUAUUAUAGCAUGUUGACGUUUCUUUCAAUUUUGUUCAGAUUCUUGAAAUGGACACCUAUAGGUACCAUGGUCACUCUAUGUCUGAUCCUGGGAGCACUUACCGAACUCGUGAUGAGAUUAGUGGUGUUAGACAGGUCAAUACAUUCCUUUAGAGUAUCUGAUAUAUCUCAGCCCGUAAACGCCUCGUAUAAAAUCAUAACAAGAUUAUCUUUAAUUUUGCAGGAACGUGAUCCUAUUGAAAGAAUCAGGAAACUCAUAUUAGCUCAUGAUAUAGCCACAGAGAAGGAGCUGAAGGUAAAGACAACUUUCUAAAGCUUGUAGGAAACCACGUAUUAUUUCACCUCGAUCUUGAAAGGACCUCUAACUGUUUUGUGGGUUUCUGUUCCUUCUCUCCAGGAUAUCGAGAAAGAAAAGAGAAAAAUUGUAGAUGAAGCCAUUGCUAAAGCAAAGGUGAGGGUGGUGAUUUUUAUCUUCUAUUCUUUAGCGAUUCUAAAUAUGGUAGUUACCUUUUAAAAAACAAUAAAAAUAGUAGCUGACUAUUAACUGCUUAUACUGUAUUCCAGGAGAGUCCCAUGCCUGACCCUUCUGAGCUCUUUACCAAUGUAUAUGUGAAAGGGUUUGGAGUUGAGGUAUGCACUUGUUCUAAUUCAUUAGUUUAUCCCUUUAUUAUAUACUGAAGACUGUAGUAUCUAUAAAUCAAGUGAUAAUUGAAGACUUUUCAUUGAAGAUAAUCUGCAACUGAUUUUACCCCCAAUCUCCAAAUACUAACGAAGUAGCACAUUACUUUGUGAAGAAUAUUAUGAUAUGGAAAUCCAUCCUUGAAAUAAACUUCAGCAAACAAAGUCUGUGCCUAGUAAUCUACUAAGAGCACUUUGACAAGAGAUAAACACCUAUAUUCAUAUAACCAUAGUUGCUAUGGGCUUAAGUACCCUGUUCUUGUUGUUAUUAUUAUCUCGUGCCUCUUUUAUAAUUGUUUUAACAAGGAGCUAGGGUGACCGGCAGUUUCACACAAUUGUCCCUUUUAUAAGAAUGGCCUAUGGAGUUAAGUUGGCGGGUUUGCUGCUGUAAGCUGACCAUUGAAUAUAGAGAGAACCUUGGUAAAAACUUUUGAGUAUUUUUCUUCUAGUUCCCGCCUCCCGGGACCAAGGAAGAUUUACUUCACAAGUUUUAUGGAGACUGGCUCAUGCAAAGGGAUCACUUUUUGUGUCAAUAGUGGUUAUUGGCCUUACUUUCCGUUUGACAUAUAUUUGAGAAGGGAUAAACUUUUGGUAACCAGAGUAGCAUGCUGGGCUUAAUAUUUUUUUAUCACUGGUUCUUGCCUGGUAUUCUACUGAGAGUACUUUAACAAGUGAUAAACACAUUAUUCAUAUAGGUAUCCAUAGUGGCCAUCUGCUAAAUUAGCCUGUUGUUGUCAAUUUGCGAUUGUAUUGUACCUCUUUUGUAAUUAUAUACAAAAGGAGCUACAGUGACUGGGAGUUUGACUCGAUCUUCUCUUUUAUAAGAGUGGCUCAUGGAGUUAAGUUGAUGAUGGGUUUGAUGCUGUAAUCUGACCAUUGAAUGUAGAGGGGACUUUAAAAAAAUGGUUCCUCAAACCAAGGAUGAAUUACUUCGAGCUUUAUCGAAACUUGCCUGUUUAAUUCAGUUUGUGUCAAUAGUGGUUAUUGACCUUGCUUCCACUUGACAAUAUAUUGAGAAGGGAUAAACUCUUGGCAAUCGUAGUAGCAUGCUUUGGGCUUGACUUUUUUAAAUCACUGUUGUAUGUUGUGAUAGAGUCAAUAGGAAUGUGGUCAGAUUAUUCUCAUUGCUUUCCAUUUGUUUGGUAUUUUUUUUUUUUUUUGUGUGUGUGUUUCUGUGGGGAAUGUUAAUGGCGUGAAGGGUAUGCUGGGACGAAGAAGAAUCACAGAUAUUUGGGACUGCUAUUCUAGGUCUUAUGGAAUGGGAGAUAGGAGAUGCUUCAAGCUUGAAGCUCUCUCUAUGUUUAUGUGGAUUAUCCAUCUAAGUUUUACUGGGAGUCCCACAGAAAAUGUGCUGUUCAUAGCUCUUUAUGGAUCUGUUUGGUGCUUUAUUUGUAAUGUUAUCCGUGUAUAAGUUAGACAGAUGCAGAUAAGACAAUGUUCAACUAAACAGGUGCCAAAUGGAUUUUUGUCUUGAACAGCAAGAGAUAUUUGGAAUUUUGUUAAGAGAUUUCUUCCACAGAGGACCUGGAUCAAAUCAUGUGGCUGGAUCCCUCCAUUACACUCUUUUCACUAGAUAUAGAUAUGGUGGUUGUUGCUCUGAACUGAGUUUAAUUAUUACUUACAAAAGCAGAUGAGUGGAUGUUAUAUAGUAUUUUAUCAUGAGAGAAGUGCAAAGAAAAUCUGGUCCAGGGUUAUCUAAUAAUUAAGUCAUAGAAGCCUUUGCUAUUAUUAAUCAAUCUAUUAACUAACAGAAGGCUUCUGAACUUUUUAUUUAGAGAACUAACCUAGCCAAGCGUAAAUAGCAGCAGGUUCGACUCCACUAUGCUUUAUUUGGUCAGUCUAAGAUGUUGGCUCAGUGUUCUGUAACUCCUUAACCUUUGUUAUUUGCAGUAGCAUGUGUUGAAUGAGCCGUUAAGUGAUUUCUUCUGAGCUUUUUGCUGUAUUGCCUUAAAAUGAAUUGGAAGUGUUUGUAUGAUAGCUUUAGGAUAUGAGCCUGGAUGUUGAACUGUGGCAAUGAGUAGUUAAUUACUUAACCUGGGCGAGGUAACUUAGUUCUUGGCAGUUCUGAUUUUAUAGGGAGUUAUUGAUUGUUAUUACUACAUAAUAUGUAACUUGAAACAAUAUAAUGGUAAGCACCCUCCACUUCCAACCAAGAGGUUGUGAGUUCGAGUCACCCCAAGAGCAAGGUGGGGAGUUCUUGGAGUGAAGGAUGCCGAGGGUCUAUUGGAAACAGUCUCUCUACCCCAGGGUAGGGGUAAGGUCUGCGUACACACUACCUUCCCCAGACCCCACUAGUGGGAUUAUAUUGGGUUGUUGUUGUUGUUGUAAACAAUAUAAUUAUUCAAAUAAUGAAUGGGACAACUACCUACAACAUAAAUGUCUCGUUAAGGAGCAAUUCUUUUCUGGGCGAAGUACACUGGUAUAGAAUGUUUUGGGUGACGUCAACUUAUCAGUGUUUGUUCUUUUCCCAGGCAUGUGGAGCAGAUAGGAAAGAAGUCAGAGCUACACUUCCAUGAGGGCUGCGUUUGCAUAUUUUUUGAUCGCCUUCUCAUAUGCACAAGGGAUAAAGCUAUAACUACAGCAAAUAAUUGUAAUAGUAAAAUCAUUGGGCUUCAUCAUGCAUAGUAACUGAAAUGGUUUUAUCUUAAAUGUAGGAAAUUGCUUUUCUUUGUUAAUGUUUUCUUUCUCUAACUGUAAUCAUUGGGCUGGUGUAUCUUUUCUACACGUUCCAUCUUAGAUGGUAAUAAAUUUGAGUAUAGCACCAUUGAACGGUGUUUUCAGCUUGAAUUUUUUCCCCUAGCUUGACUUGUUUUCACUCUUAGACAUUCCAACCACCAUUUUACGUCAUUGUUCCCUAGUUCAUCUCAUUGUUCAGUUGUCGUCCUAUCUUGGUACUCGGUAGAGCUUCACAUUGGCAGGGUAUGGUACCAUUGAACUACUGUAUAACUGGUUCUGAACAGGCAAAUUGAUUGGUAAGGAGAUAAAGGAAGCAAGAGGAAAAGAGUUCUAUAAUUCUUUUAAUAUAGACAGCAAUGAGUUGAUAUGUCUCCUUCGUACACAUACACAAGGAUGUUUUACUUUGUAGACUGUGAACCAUUAGGGAGCAGGUGCAGGUAUGCUUGUUUCUGGGUUGUAUGCAUUUUCCCUAAACUUCAUCAAGCCUAUUUCUGUAUUUAUUUCAAAAUAGAGUUCAUAAUUUUAAAAUUGAGCUUUUAGUAUAGAGUGUGGUGAGAUGUUCCAUGCCUACUGUUUUCGCCAAUAUUAAAGGCAGCAGUUGCAGGUAUGCUUGUUUAGGGGGUGUAUGGCAUUUUCAAAAGUACGAAUACGGGAUUAGCAGACAAAAAGGUUAGCUGAAUGCUACUAUGGAUAGAGUAUCGAGAGCUCUUUUCCCCCUCACUGUAGUCUCUUUUUACAACUACGAUAACAAACCGGGUAAUGUGUACGCAGAAAGAGAGGCUAAACAAACAGUUACCUUGGCUCAAGAACAGUGAAAAUGACACAAUAAACAAACAGUGACCACGGUAGUCUCCUUUUCUUUUAAGUAUUUCAAUAUUUAUUCCCCUUAGUGGCAGCAUACUAAAAUGCUCGUAAAAGGAUGCAGCCAAACAACACCGUCUGAACUCUGACAAUAAAUAACUAUAGUAUUUCCUUCAAUUUAAAACAUCAUUGCAUCAGCAUUUUUGAUCAUUUUAUUCAAAACCUGUGGCUUUUCACAAUGGAUAUAGGAGGAUUGUUUUUUUCACAGCUGUGUUUUUCAGAGUUUGCAAAGGCCAAUGUCCCAUUUACACUUGCUCAGAGAAUCCAAUGUACUGCCACCUUGCCCACUCACUAUACUACAACUGACCAAGUAUUAUACUAAUACGAUCUAUUCAAUCACAACUACUCUUCUCCAAACCCCCAACUCACCUCACCGGCCAAUUCUUUUCCUUUUUUGUUUGUUUGAUCUAAUACAGCACGGGGUUAUAUAUAGUUUAUAAAGGCAUAUGAUUAUAGGCGGAAUAAGAUUUUAAGUUUAUGAGUUUUUAAUUUUAGAAAAAAUAGUUUAUUGGGUUCUGAAAAAAUUAUAUAUGCAUAUCAAGUAGAUUUUUAAUACAAAUACAGAGUUUGAGCUGAAGCUGCUAAAUCCAUAUUCAGAAUGGUAGCUCCCCUCGGUUAUGACCAUCUUAUGCAUUACCUUAAAUUUUUGAGUGUGAACGUAUUUUUAAAUUCAGUGGAAAUAUUUAAUAAAUUCAAACUCACAGUCUUGAAUGUGUAUUCAAGUUCAUAUCAUCGUGUGCGCUUCAAAUCAUGUAACGCGAAGGGAAAGAAGAAUGUACCACAAUAGCUAUAUUACGUUACAUGUAUGACUUACGUUGUAUAAUCGGAUAUAUGAGGGCAUAUAAAGAGGUCUAGAAAGACUUUGUAUCUAUUCAUUGUUAUGAAUUGGAUGUUAUAUAACCCUUUACAACAAACAAGGUCGUAGUAUGAAAAUUUGAAUUUUAUUGAGGCUGUGUUACCAGAAAAAACUCAUACUUUCUAACAACAAUGUAUAACAUUAUAUAUCACUACUUAUUUGUGGAGAUAUUUUGAAUUAUUUCAUCCCAACUAUUCUGAAAAUCGUUCUUUCUUAGUUAGAACUUCUUUGACUUAUACUCCAUAUAUUACUUGGCUAAAGCCUUUUGUCCAAGUUCUGCCGGUUGCCACUGAAAUUUAGCGUUGCUAUCAGGACCAUAUAUAUCAAUUCUGUAUAUUUAAUUCAUUUUUAUGUAAUGGAUUAUUGUUUUUCCACAAUCUUAAAGUCUACAUUCGAGUUAAUUCUAUUAUUAUAGUACGGUAUUUUAUUAUUUGAAAUGCGUUUUCCUCACUCGUUUACGUAACAUACGUACGUUAUGGGGGAAAGUAAGAUAUUGGAAGUGAUUCUUAAUUACAUUUUCAGAUGAUAGUUCACAGUUUUAGCUAGAUUAACAAAGGCAAUAAUUAGCUAGUUUAUGGAUGCAUGCAUUUACAAUCAAUAAACAAAUAAACCAUUAGGAAUUAGCAUAGUAAGAAAAGAAAAGGUCGAGUUAUGCAAAAACAACGGGGAUAUAACAAGCAAGCAACAAGAUUUACAACAAGUUGGCAAUUUUAAUAGAAACAAAUCUAUUCUAUUUGCUUGUAAUCCUAUAUAUACCAAAAUUGUCAUAGAGGGAAAAAACAAAAAAAGAAAAAAAAAAAAGAAAAAAAGAAAAGACUAGUAAGUGAGUGUCCCUUUUCUUUCUUUAUUCCUUUUUUUUUUUUUAGAGUGGGCAAGGGUAAUCUAGAAUUUGAAGUUUAUGUGUUCCACAACAAACUCAAAUUAAUAUAGAAUAAUAACCGAGUUUAUAAUAAUUAUUUAUAAAUAUUUAACGAAUUGUUAAUAUAUAUAAAAGGUCUUGACAAAAUUUAUUAAAUUUACUAAUACGUGCAGCAAAUAACCACGGCAGAGUCUUGCCAAAUUUCGGAAGAGUGGAGUUUCUAACUUUCAUGUGCAGCAUGUUGUUUACUACUAUGCUUAGUUAAUAAAUAGUUCGUCAAACGAUGUCUGGGACAUAACAAAUCUUGUAAAAAGUAGUGAUUAUUAUAUCUAAUAACAAGUUGGUACCCAGAAUCUGAAGCAACCCAUUUAAAUAUUAUUAUACCUUCACUGUAAUUCCAACUAUUAUUUAAUAUACAUAAUCGUGCAGUGAAAUUUUCUGCCUGUUGAAGACAAUAAAAUAUUCCUCUUCACUACAGCUUUUCUUCACCUUAUAAGGGCCUGAUGUUUUUUCUUAUUUUCAAUAUAGAAAGAAAAAAAAAAGCUAAAAAGAAAAAUAUAAAGACAGAGGGAGUCAAUUAGAUUUAGCGGUUGGCAUGUCUCUUUAAAUAGAAAAAAAAUGAAAAAAGGAUCCACCUAACAAAACAUCAGGUGUGCCUAAUGUGUCAUGAGGGUUUGAAUAAUUACCCAAUAUAUGUUAAUGUGCUACAUAUACAAUUUUGGUCCAACUCAUAAUUAACACGCAUUUAAAUAUGUUAUUUUUAAUUUUAACUUUUAAUAUACUAUCAUUUUAUCAUUAGUAAUACAAAUAUCAUGGCAUAUCUAAGACACAAAUUUCAAAAGUCUGAACUUUUUAUUAACUCCGUACACUUAAUCAAUUAGUUUCAGAUAAAUUAAAUUUGAGGUAAUAGUAAUUGUUAAUACUUAAUAAGUGUUUAGACAUAGAUUUGUUUGAAACUUGAAAAAAUGAGUUUUUAAAGAUGAGAAGAAAAAUAAUUUUUGAAAAUUGAAAUUGUGUUUGGACAUGCAUUUCACUUGAAAACACUACCAUCCAAAUGCCCAUUUCCUACAUCAUAUAUAAUAUUUUAAAGAUGGUAUACCACCAAAUUAACAUAAAAUGAAAAGAAGAAAAACUUUAUACUCCAGGUGAAAAUUACUACAGCUUUCAAAGGCCUCGUUUGUCCAUAAAAAAAAAAUUGGUUCAAAAAUGUAUUUGUCUAUGAAAUUUUACAAGUUUUUAAAAAUUUUUUAAAAAUGAGUUUUUCAAAAACCAAAAAGUGGUUUUGACCACUUUUCAGAAAAACUUUUUUUCCACUCAAAAAACUGUAAUAUUUUUUUCCAAAUAUAAUUUCAAGUAUCAGUUUUCAACUCAACUCCAAAUAUUAUUUUUUUCAAAAAUUAUAAUUUUUAUGUUGAAACGCCUACUAAUAUGAAGAGAAAAUAUGGAAAGAAUUAGAAGGGUAGGAAAGGAAAAAAAAAAAGAGCACGUGAUCUCACGUGGCAUAAGUAUAGCCUUUAGCUGGACUAUAUAUAUAGUGUUAGGGAAGGUGGCUAAUUUCUACAUCAAUCACAGCUCGCUUAUAUUCCCACUCCCCAGCUGUCACCCACUUGGCCUCUUCAAAGUUAGGCAUAUUCCUUUCCGAUCAAAAUGUAUUUUCAGCUUCUAUUUUAUAAAGUCAAUAAAUAUAUAAUAGUAAUAUUUUUAAUGCAAAAUUAUUAAUUAAUUAUGAUAAAUAAUUUGUAUUUUUUAUUUAAUUCUUAAUUAUUAUGGUUAAAAUAUUUAAUUUUGUGUAGAUCAAAUAUGAAUAACUAUUUACUCCCUCCAUUUGACCCGUCAACUCCUUUAGUUCCUUACCUAAAACCCUGUGCUCCAGGAUUUCAAGUUUUGCAUUAAUAUUAUAUAACUUUCUUGUACAAUCAGAUUAAGUUGAUUUAUUACUACACAUUUUUUAGUGUAAGUUUGAUAUGAUGAUUAAAAAAUUAAAUAACAACAAUAUAAUGGGUUCAAUCUUUUAGUAACAAAAUAAGUUAAUUUAGAUUCUUAAUUCAAUAAAGUAUUUACCAUCAGUUAUCAAAUUAAAUUAUCAAAUGAUGCUUUGAAUGAUCAAUUGAUUACGAAAUCAAUUAGUCGUCUUAGAAAUGUUCGGUGUGAGCUACAUUCUUUUUAUUUUAUUUCUAGUUUUUUUCAUUUGUGUUAUCUGAUGUAAAAGAACUUCUGACUUCUCAAUGGUUAUUAUAUAAAUAAAUAUUAGCACAUACAUGAAUCACAUUAUAGAGUCGAUAAAAAAUGUCUAAUACGAGAAUAUUCUGUUAAAUUUCCUUGUCAAUUUGGAAUAGUUCAAGGAUAUACAUAUUAGUCGUUCGCCUGUUCAGAUUUAGAUAUUUCAAUAUACGUUUUAAUUUUGUAAAACCUAAGAAUAUUAUGACGCAUUUAAAUUACUUCUUCCGUUUCAAUUUAUGUGAAUCUAUUUUUUUUUAGUUCGUACAAAAAAAGAAUGACUCAUUUCUAUAUUUUGAAAUAUUUUGCCUUUAUGCAAUCAUUUAUAACUAUACAAAAUAGGGGUGUACAUAGAUCGGGUUGGUUCGGAUUUUUCAAUUAUCACACCAAACCAAUGUUGUCGGGUUUUUAAAUUUAUACACAAACCAACAAAAUCGGAUUUUUCAAUCUCGAUUUUCUCAAGAUUUUUCGGAUUUUCGGAUUUUUUUCGGUAAAGUCUUCAUAGCAUAAAAUAUGUAACUUGUGCUCCAAAUAUUUUUUAAGUCCUAGUAAAAUAUAACUAUAUCAUGUAUUUUCCAAGAAACUAACACAAUAUUAUGAGAUAAGUCAUAGCAUUAUACUAAAAUAUUCAAUAACAAAGAUAAAAUAAUAAAAUUACAUAAAACAAAUAUUGCUAAUUAAUAAGCUAUAAUAAAAAUUAACAUAAUCUAAAAAUACUAUAUAGGUCAUGCUAAAAUAAGUAUAGCUAAUAAAUACUAAUAUUAAUUACAUAACUAAGUACUAAGGAAAAAGAUAAACUAAGUUAUGCAUUUUCAUUAUAAAACAAUGUAAAACUAAAAUAAUUAUCCAAUACUAUUGUCAUUCCUAGUAUUAAAUUGAAUUUCUUUUGUUACCAUUAGUAUUGAUUUGAACUUUGUUUGAGUUACUACAUUUAUGAGCUUUAAAAUUUAUUUACCAUUCAAGAAUAUUAAGUCUAAACUUGAAAUAAUAUGUUAAAAGAUAAAACUGUGAAUUUUUUUUAAGAAAUAUUUAUAAAUUACAUUACAAUAAAUAUUUAUAUGUAUAAAAUAUUUGUAAAAAUUAUAUAAAUGUACUAUCGGGUUGAUGUUUCAGUUUAACUUUUUUUAAUUAAAAUCAAAUUAAACCAAUUAUGGUCGGAUUUUGUUAUCAAAUACCAAAUCAAACCAAACCAUAUCGGAAUUUUUUUUUCCGGUUUGACUCGGAUUAUCGGUUUGGUGCGAUUUAUCGGUUUUCUUUGUACACCCCUAACACAAAAUAUAUGUACCCCAUUUUACACCACAAAUUCAAAGAUUUUCUCUUUCUUCUUAAAUUCUGUGCUCAAUUAAAUAGGUUUAUAUAAAUUGAAACGGUGUGAGUAUAAGAUUACGCUUCUCUUUUAUUUCUGCAAAAUAAUUACAAUGACGACGAAAGUCAUAAAUGUAAACCAAGACGUGAUGUCCACGUAAUGAUUUAUGGCAUCGAAAUUACUUUGAAGACAAAUUCAAUUGACCUCUUAAACUUUUUCGAAACCGAUGCUUAAUUGAUUUUUUUACAUGUUAUAAAGAAUCUUCUCAAGCUCAUAUUUUCUCGUAGCUUCAAGCAUUUGAAAUUAGAAUUUUGUUCAUGUAAACUGUGCUAACGUUUAUCAUGGUUAGUCUUGUUAUAAAUAGUUAUAAUUAAUUAAUUUAAAUAACAAAGCCACUAAACAAAUGAAAAUAUGGCAAUAAAAAAAAAUAUUUAUUUUUUUAAUGCAAAACUGACUAGUUAAAUUAAAAGCUUACAAGUAAACAUAUCAAGUUACAUUAAGAAUUUUGAAAUUCUAAGUGAAAAAGGGCCACAUAAAACAAAGUGAAGUGGGUAUAUAAAGAAAGUUAGAGAGAAAAAAUUAGGCCUAGGACUGUACUUUUUAAGUAAUACUCCUUCCGUUUUAAUUUAUGUGAACUCAUUUGACUGGACACGGAGUUUAAAAAAAGAGAGAAGACUUUUGAACUUGUGCUGUAAAAUAAGGCACAUAUAUUUUGUGUGACUAUAAAUCAUUGCAUAAAGGUAAAUUGUUUCCAAAUAAGGAAAAAGAUCAUUCUUUUUGGCACGGACUAAAAAAGAAAUAGGUUCACAUAAAUUUGAAACGGAGGAAGUACUAGUAUAAUAUUUUUGCACAAACACAUAAUUUUCGUAUAAUUAGCAUGUGAACCAAAUGAUUUUAAAGAAAAGUUCAGCAUUUUAACCCCCACCAGCUUAUCUAAUUUGGAGGUAAUAAAUAAUAGAAAUGCCAAAAAGAUAAAUAUGUGACAUUGGGUAGAAUAGAUACAAAAAACGUUAAAAUAGUAAUUGCAAAAAAUACACUAGAGCUAACUACUAACUAUACCCAACCGAGAAUUAUGUCUUUUCUCAUAACAAACUUCCACGUAUAAUAUUUCACUAAACAACUCCAAUAAUUAAAUUCCAAAACUUACCAACUACGAAAACCCUUUACUUCUUUUGUUUCGUAAUUACUAAAUUAAUCUCCACGUAAUACGUAAUUCCCCAUUAUAAUCACCUUUAGAUAAUACAGUACACUCAUUCAACUGAAUCACACGCGCACCCUAAACCGCGCGUGUAAACAGUAGCAUUGAGCUUGCAGUUUUUAUAUAAAACCAAGCUAACCCCAUGCCUUCGAGGAAUUGUAGAUAGUGACAGCGAAAAAGAUCAAUAAAAAAUCCCAUAUUUUUCUCUCUCUAUUUAUGGUAAUAAAAUUAAAAGUGAUUUUUUGAGUAAUAAUCACUGAAUACGGUCUUUUUGUUCGAAUUUACCAUUGUUGAACGAAUCUGGAUGUUCAAUAUGUAUAUAUAUGGUAAUUUAUUAACCUUUCUUUGGCCUUUCCUUUUCCAGAACUCUCCCUUUCCUUCUAUUCUUUCCUUCACCAUAAUGCUGCAUCAAUAACGUUACAUUUAUAUAUAGGGAGAGAAAAUUAACCAUAUUUUCUCAACAAAGAAAAAAACCCAGAAACCCAGAUGAAAAUGGGUCGUUUUGGGUUUUUUGAUAUUACUGUGGUUUGUAUUCUGUUGCCUCUUUUGUUUUCGCGGUGUUAUGGGAUUCGCAGUUUCCCAGAGGAGAGGCGAUUUGCAGAGGCGCCGGAGUACAGAAACGGCGUCGGAUGUCCGGUGACGGCGGAGGGUAAAACGUUAUCGUCUUGUGAUCCCUCAUUGGUCCACGUGGCGAUGACGUUGGAUUCUGAGUACCUCCGCGGAUCCAUGGCGGCUGUUCACUCAGUCCUCCGCCACGCGUCUUGCCCCGAACACGUCUUCUUUCACUUCAUCGCCGCUGAGUUCGACGCGACGAGCCCCCGCGUGUUGACACAGCUGGUCCGAUCCAUUUUCCCUUCCCUCAACUUCAAAGUCUACAUUUUCAGAGAAGACACAGUCCUAAAUCUCAUCUCAUCAUCGAUCCGACAAGCUCUCGAAAACCCGUUAAACUACGCCCGGAACUAUUUGGGCGAUAUGCUCGACCCGUGCGUGACACGUGUCAUUUACUUGGACUCCGACGUAGUACUCGUCGACGAUAUUCAGAAGCUGUGGAGGGUGAACCUUACCGGGUCCCGAAUCAUCGGAGCACCUGAAUACUGCCACGCGAAUUUCACGAUAUACUUCACCGAUACAUUCUGGUCCGACCCGGUAUUAUCCCGGGUAUUCGGGUCGAGAAAGCCGUGUUAUUUCAACACGGGCGUAAUGGUAAUGGAGUUGAAGAAAUGGAGAGAAGGAAAUUACAGGCAGAGAAUAGAGAGGUGGAUGGAGUUACAGAGACAGAAGAGGAUUUACGAAUUGGGCUCAUUGCCGCCGUUUUUGCUUGUAUUUGGUGGGCUCGUCGAGCCCAUUAAUCAUAGGUGGAAUCAACAUGGGCUCGGCGGUGAUAAUGUAAAGGGGUCGUGUAGGUCAUUACAUCCAGGCCCAGUAAGUUUGUUACAUUGGAGUGGAAAAGGAAAACCAUGGGUUAGACUUGAUGAGAAAAGACCAUGUCCUUUGGAUUAUCUUUGGGAGCCAUAUGAUUUAUACAAGCACAAUUACAGGAGCAAAGUGAGACAUAAUUUGGGUUUUUUAACUAGUACUAAUCCUUUUGGUUACUCUAAUUAUUUCAUUUGAUUGAUCAUUCUUUUACACUUUUGGUUUUUUUUUUGUUGACAAGGUGAUUUAAGUGAUUCUUUGAUAGCCUUGUACAGAUUGGUUAGAUGAAAAAAAAAAAGAAGAGAGAAUAUUGAUGGUCAUAGUUUAAAAUUUUAAUGGGGAUGUAAUGUGUUUUAUUUAGGAGUUAAAGUUUAUUACAUUAAUUUUUUUUUUGCUGGUUCCACGGACUUGGAACAAUUUUGGAGAAUUGAUUCGAUUUGUAUGUUGGGAUAUACAUGAGAAGAGGAAUAACUCGUUUCUUGUUUC